rnacentral:rRNA from 1 species
CGCGCAGGCGGCCUGAUCAGUCAGAUGUGAAAGCCCACGGCUUAACUGUGGAAGUGCAUUUGAAACUGUCAGGCUUGAGUACCAGAGGGGAAAGUGGAAUUCCCGGUGUAGAGGUGAAAUUCGUAGAUAUCGGGAGGAAUACCGGUGGCGAAGGCGACUUUCUGGCUGGAUACUGACGCUGAGGCGCGAAAGCGUGGGAGCAAACA